GACUCACUGAGUCAUCAGGUUCCUCCACAGAAACCUUCCAUCUGGUGCUUCACUCCCAGGUUAUCCGUGGCUGAAGCUAGGAGCUUCCUGUGGCUGGCAGAUGACACCUAUACGCCCAGCGUGUGCCUCAAGGCUUGUGCAGUGCUGUAGUCUGCAUCUGUUUGAAAAAAACAGAACUGUUGCUGAUGGCUGCUUUACAGAAAAAUGUGUCUGAGAAACCUAACUUGGAAAUGCAGAUGUAAGAGAUUAAUGCACCAAUACUAUUUUUAAUUGUUUAAACCUCGUCACAGUAUUUCGAAGAAUCUUUCAUUAAAUCUCUGCUGAAGGCUGAAAUUUCUGAAUUAUACCUUGGUUCAAACUAACCUCUGACAACAAGAGCAGUUAAGGCAAUUGAGAUGGACAUUUUCCAUGAGAACAUGACAUUUUCUGUAUGUUAACAUCAGUAGAUCCAAGCUAUGGAAACUUCUGGAGGUAGGACUUAAAAGCUGCUGAUACCAAUAAUACAAAAUUGUCUUGAACAAUGUAGUAAAAUUUUGUUGGACCUUUUUUAAUUGUGAAAAAGACCUUGUGGCCAUGCUUCAUUGCCAGUUUGCUUGACUAAGUAUCAGUUCUCUGUCAGUAGUUGUGAAGCAGUUUAGUAUCUGAGUUUUAAUUUUCUAUUUAUGACAUUUCUUGAAAAUUUCCUAAAAAUAAAAAGUUGAGUAUCCUGUUACCCCACUCUAUAGAGCUAAAUGCAGUCAAUGUGUGGUACAUUUCUUCCCAGUCUUUCAAUGUAUAAAGUAUGAAAAUUAUUUCAGAGUUGAGAUCAUACUGCAUGUAUGGUACUGUUAUCUUGCUCUUUUAUUUUUCUCAUUUUAACGUCGUGAGUAUUUUUCCCAUGGCAUUAAAAACUGUCUUUGAAAAAUGGAAAGCACUUUUUGGGCUGUCAGCAUUUAACUGAAAUGUUUUCUUGGUGUGACACGUGUAUCUUUGUAACUGGUUUGAUUUAGUGUACUUCAAUAAAAAUUCAGUAUUAUGAUCUACAGAUUGGGGGUGGGGAGUGGUAUCUCCUUCAAAUGCCUGAGGUCUUCCUGGUAGGAUUUCUCUUUAAUGAUCCAAGUCCCCUGGUACAUCUGUGACCCCUCUCGGACACUGUAAAUGCUCUCUUGGCCUGGCCUCAGCACACAGCUCUGAACGGGGAGUGCUCCGCCCUGGUGCUGUCUAGGGCUCAUGGUGAGGAUGCCUCCCCCUUGGAUCAAGUUGUGGGGAUUGCAAAUCCCCCCUUUAUGUGGCCUGGAGGGCCUGGCCCUGCAUGGUGGGGUAGUGCCUAUGCACCCCGGGGCUGGGGAGGGGCUGGGGAGCAGGGAGUCAGUUGUGUUGAACGGGGCGGAUUUGCUUUCUCUGCCUGUAUGUGAUCUAACUAUACUGGGAAACUGGGAUUACAUGUAAUUAAUUCUGCAAACAGCAUUUUCCUAUCAUCCUAAGCAUGAACUUGGUAUAAUAAUAGCUCUGUGCUGCUUAUUUUAAUAAUUUGCCAUGUAACUUGAAUUCCAAUAACCCGGACUGUAAAUUUGUAUUAGCUGCAGUGGAAGCUUUAAAAGUUAAUUAAAUCAUCUCAAUCUCCCCUUGCUCCUGCACUAAUCAUUUGCAAUUGAUGCAGAGACUUUGAAAGUUUUACUUAUCUUUUGUUAAGCAAUUGAGACUUCUGUCUAAUCAUGCUACUUGUUCUGCUUUUGUCAAUUGAUAUUCCUGUAG